GAAACUGGAGCUAAUACCGUAUACGCCCUUAUGGGGAAAGAUUUAUCGGUGAAAGAUGAGCCCGCGUUGGAUUAGCUAGUUGGUGGGGUAAAGGCCUACCAAGGCGACGAUCCAUAGCUGGUCUGAGAGGAUGAUCAGCCACAUUGGGACUGAGACACGGCCCAAACUCCUACGGGAGGCAGCAGUGGGGAAUAUUGGACAAUGGGCGCAAGCCUGAUCCAGCCAUGCCGCGUGAGUGAUGAAGGCCCUAGGGUUGUAAAGCUCUUUCACCGGAGAAGAUAAUGACGGUAUCCGGAGAAGAAGCCCCGGCUAACUUCGUGCCAGCAGCCGCGGUAAUACGAAGGGGGCUAGCGUUGUUCGGAAUUACUGGGCGUAAAGCGCACGUAGGCGGAUAUUUAAGUCAGGGGUGAAAUCCCAGAGCUCAACUCUGGAACUGCCUUUGAUACUGGGUAUCUUGAGUAUGGAAGAGGUAAGUGGAAUUCCGAGUGUAGAGGUGAAAUUCGUAGAUAUUCGGAGGAACACCAGUGGCGAAGGCGGCUUACUGGUCCAUACUGACG
rnacentral:rRNA from 1 species